GCAUAUAUUGUGUGUGUGUGUGUGUGCGCGCGGCGCGCACGCGUGUGCGUGUGUGCAUGUGCGUGUGUUAAUUAUCUACAUCAGAUAUGUAUGAUUGAUGAUUGAAAUAGGUAGACUUUUUUUUUUUUUUUAAAUCCUAAUUUGUUACUAGUAGCGUGGGUGUAACAUAGAAACGGUACUGAUAUUCCUUUACUAGUAGUUGUGGGUGUGGAAUACUAGUAGCAUGGGGCACCAGCGCUACUGGUAUGUCUAUUUAGCAGUAGCGUGGGGUAAAACACACGCUACUGCUAAAAAAUAGUUGUAGCGUCAUAGCAGUAGCAUGAGAACCUACGCUACUGGUAGUCCAAAAACCCAUGCUACUGGUAAGGUUCUUUCUAGUAGUGUUCAUCACCUGUUGCAGCUCCCUGGCUCGCCGUGGAAGCAUCCUUCCUCAUCUGUUCCAGCACUCUGGGUUGCCGGUAGUAGCAAAACGGCGCACCGGUUGCAGCUCUCCACAUAGAUGAUUCUAGCAUCCCCUCAUCGCAUGCUUGUAGCAUAUGGCGCCGCCGGUUGCAGCUCUCCACGCUGCCGAUUCCAGCAUCCCAGAUCGUCGUUGGUAGCAUCACGUCUUUUCGCUCAUAGUUGUGUGCCUCACCACUUGUAGCAUCACCGUUGGCAGGUUGCAGCUUGAUGUCGUGCUAGUUCCAGCACCUGACAUAGCCUAUAGAAACACCGGUCCUCCAUGGUCGUGCCACCGGAGCUUGCCAGUUUGUAGCGACCAGACCUCAAACUGUCUGAUCUCUGUGCAACAGUGUCAUCCCUGGAUCGGUAAUGCUGACAUGCACAGUACUUGAAGGAUUUAUAACAGAGUAGCAAUCACACACUUAUUACAUCGAAUGUCUCAAAAGGGAACUUAUUACAAUAAAUAUGGCUUAAGGCCAUCUAAAUACGAUAACAGCGGAAUGCUUGGAAUAUAAAGUGAGUCCAUCAACUCCAACAGCAUCACUGAGUGAAAGAUCACGACCUAAGGCACCUUACUCGUCGUCUGAAAAGUCUGCAACAUGAACCUUGCAGCCCGAAAUGGGUCAGCACAUGGAAUAUGCUGGCAAUGUAACACAUAGAGAGUAAUGAACAGAAUAAUGCUAUCACUACAUGCAUACAUGGCUGGUGGAAAGCUCUAUGGUUUACAGUUUUGCAUAAAGCCAAAUUUUCCCUACUACAGAGGAAUAAGUUUUAUUUAACUAUCAUGGUGGUUGUUAAACAUUGAGAAGGUUCACCCAACUCAAUCCCAAUUAAGCAUCAUCAUUAACCCAAUCAAAUUAUAUUAAGAGUGAUGAGAUCCACAUGAUAAUCCAAGAACUAGAUACUUAAAACGCCCAUAACCGGGGACACGACUAACCAUGAUUAGUCUGUACACUCUGCAGAGGUUUGCGCACUUUUCCACACAAGACUCGAAUACAUCCAUGGUCGGAGAAAGGAGACACAGUCUUUCUGAAACAAUAACUCUUUACUCCGGGUGGACAGUUACACCUACUUUCCCCUACAUCUACUAGCCCACCACUGAAAGAGGUCUUGCAACUUACUCAACUAUACUAGAGCCCAUAAUAGCUUGUGGCUGCACACGGAAGUUUCUAGCAUGAACAAUUUUAUGAUCCCUUUGAGCCUGGGUGGCGGUCCAUAGGAGAAACACACACUAGUAGAAAAAGGGCAUAUUGUCCCGGUCCGUAAGGGCCAUUUGUCCCGGUUUUUGAACCGGGACUAAAGUGUCGGUACUAAUGCCCUUGACCUUUAGUCCCGAUUCUUACACAAACCGGGACAGAUGGGCCUCCACAUGGCCGGAGCGGCAAGCCCAGGCAGGAGGCCCUCUGGUCCCAGUUGGUGGCACCAAUCGGGAUCAAUAGGGAUACACGCGUCAGCAUUUCAGGUGUUGGGGUUUUUGUUUNNNNNNNNNNNNNNNNNNNNNNNNNNNNNNNNNNNNNNNNNNNNNNNNNNNNNNNNNNNNNNNNNNNNNNNNNNNNNNNNNNNNNNNNNNNNNNNNNNNNNNNNNNNNNNNNNNNNNNNNNNNNNNNNNNNNNNNNNNNNNNNNNNNNNNNNNNNNNNNNNNNNNNNNNNNNNNNNNNNNNNNNNNNNNNNNNNNNNNNNNNNNNNNNNNNNNNNNNNNNNNNNNNNNNNNNNNNNNNUUUCAUAUAUUGUGUUAGCUAGCUAACUAAUAGAGAGAAGUGUCCUCUCUUAUCUCCGUGCUUGGUCGACGCUAUGUACUAUACGUAUAGAGAGGACUAGACACGCUAGCUAGUAAACAAAUGAAAGAAACAGAAGAUCGUCAUGAACAUAUGCAUACAGAGAGUAGUGAUCACUACAAAAAAAAGACACAUCCGUGACAUUUUGGGCCGAACGAUUUUUUUUCUGUCAUACAUAUGACACUUCUAUGAUGAUAAUUGUGACAAAACCCGGUAUCAUCAUAGAUGUGGUGGGCUCCUACUUCCAUGACAAAAAAUCAUGACAAAAAAUGGGCUUUUUGUCCUGGGCGGGCCGGAGACGCAGCUGCAUGACAUUCUUUGGGCCGUCUAUGACGGAAAAAACCAUGGUAGAAGCAAGGGCGAGGAAAAUUUCGGGGAGUUCCCGGUUAUGGUGGGUGGUCGGGGGCCGAGCGAUGCGCGUUUCUCUCGUACACGUACGCACGUGUGUGCGAGGCGUUGGCUCUAACUGAACCCGAGCGAGGCGUUGGUCUCUAAUUGAACCCGAGCGAUUGCACUACAGGCUACGCGUUACUGAAUCCGAGCGAUCGAUGGAUGGCUGUUAACUAAACCCAAUCGAGCGAUUCCUUCGCUACUGCUUCUAACUGAAAUCGAUCGAUGCUGCCUCUCUGGAUGAACAAUGAGCAUUGCAGGGGGGGUUGGAUGAACAGUGAGCGGUGGGGGUGGGUGAACUGGACCCCGUGGCGUUGCCUCGAUCGAGCCGGUUUGGGCUGGAUGAACAGGACCCCGUGGAGGGCUGGAUGAAUAGGACGACCCCGUGGAGGGCUGGAUGAACAAUAGACGGUGGAGGGGUGCCCGUGGAGGGGUGGUUGAACAGUAGCUGGUGGAGUAGCGCGUGGUGGAGACUGGAUGAACAGGAGCCCGUGGAGGCUGGAGGAGGUCGACGGUAGCCCAUGGAGGCUGGAAGAGGUCGACUGUGGAGAUGAACAGUAUCUCGUGGAGUCCCGUUUUGCGGUACGCCACACCCCUCCCGAUGAACAGGACCCCCAUUUCGACCGUAGCGCUCCAAGACAAGUCUGUUUCGUUUGUUUUGCGGUAUGCCACACCCCUCCUGAUCAACAGGACCCCCGUUUCUAUCGUAGGAGGUUUGUUUCCUCCGUUUUGCGGUACGCCAGACCCCUCCCGAUGAACAGGAUCUCGUUUCGAACGUGGCCGGUCGAACACAAGGUCGUUUCCUCUGUUCUGCGGUACGCCAGGCCUCGUUUCCAUCGCCUGUUCCGUCCAAGCCCUCCCGAUGAACACAAUGACACAUUCCGUUCCGACCCAGCCGGUUGGCUCCCCAUGAACAUGACGAUGACGCUGUUUCUCCGUUCCGACCCAGCCAUGUACACGAGCCCUAGCCGUACGUAUGCGCGAGUAGGCGUUCGAGACCCCGCCCAUAUGUACACAUACAUGGUCGUAUUUUCUUUCUUGCACACUGGCCGCUGUACGUACGUGUAUAUGCUACGUGCGCGUCUCUACUAUGACAUGUACGCGCCUCUACUACGACACGUGCGCGCCUCUACUACGACACGUGCACGCCUCUACAUCCACCAGUAUGUACGUACACGUUCGUGACCAGAAUGACAACGCUACGUACGCUUCGACCAGGUGUGUCCCGACUGUCAGGCACUUCCUUGCGUGCAAAGAUGUAGCUGUUGGGUCCCAGCAGUCAGGGGGGCGAAUCAAUUUUUUUUGCUCGGACGCACUUCCUUCCGUGCGAAGGUGUAGCUGGUGGGUCCCAGCAGUCAGGGGGGAAACUUUUUUUCGCGAAAUACGGUGGCUCGUCCGGUCGGUCCCUGCUGUCAGGUGGAGGAAUCAUUAUUUUUCGUUUAAUAAGGAGGCACUUCCUUGCUGCGGCCGUGGACCCAGCUGUCAGCCUCUCCAUGUACAGUCCACGUCCGAUGGAAGUCAUUCCUUGACCACGUUGACCACACCGCCCCGAGAGCACCAGGGCAGUGGACAAUGGCGAGGCCUAGGAAGGGGACGACAGGGAGCCGGGGAAGACGCGGCAGUGGAAGCCCGUGCGGAGAGGAGUACGAUGGUUCACUGGUUCGGCUGCGGUGUGAGGCUGCCGUCGCCGCAGGGCCUGGCCAGCGGUGGGAAUAGUAGAGGGCGGUGAGGCCUCCGCGGCAGCAUAGCCAGCCACGGGAGGCAGGAGGAUGCGGCAUGACCGGCGCUGCUUUGGGCAGCUGGAGCAAGAAGACCAGAGGUUGAAGAAGUAGUACGGCCGUUGGAUGGACAUCGUACGGUCACUGGAGCUAGAAUCGUUCAUAUUGACGAAGUUGACAAAGCCCUCCGUCCCCGUCAACUUAGUAGCCCCACAAGUCAGCCUCCCACCAAGGUGGGUCCCUGCUAGCAGGGGGAGUAUUCAUUUUUUUGUGUGUAAUAAGGAGGCACUUCUGGUGGGUUCGAGCUGACAGCGGGGGGAACAUUUUUUCACGAAAUACGGUGGCCCCUCCGGUGGGUCCCAGCAGUUAGGGGCAAACGUUUUUUUUUCGUGAAAUACUGGUGGCCCAUCCGGUGGGUCCCUGCUGUCAGGUGGAGGAAUAAUUCUUGUCCGCGUAAUAAGGAAGCACUUCCUUGCGGCUGCCAUGGACCCAACUGUCAGCCUCUCCACAUACAGUACUCUUCCGAUGGAAGUCGGUCAUUGACCACAUUGACCAUGCUAUGCUGAGAGCACCACGGCGGUGGACGACGGCGAGGCCUAGGAAGGGGACAACGCGGAGCCGGGGAAGACGCGGCAGUGGAUGCCCACGCGAAGAGGAGUACGAGGGUUCACUGGUUCGGCUGCGGUGUGAGGCUGUCGUGGCCGCAGAAUAACAGGGGGUGUGGGUGAGUGCAGGGAUGGCCUGACCAGUGGUGGGAGUAGUAUGGGGGCGGUGAGGCCUCCACGGUAGCAUAGCCGGCCACAGGAGGCAGGAGCAGGUGGCACGACCGGCGCUGCUUUGGGCGGCUAGAGCAAGAAGACCAGAGGUUGAAGAAGCACUAUGACCGUUGGAUGGACAUCAUACGGUCACUGGAGUAUUGACUAAGUUGACAAAGCCCUUCGUCCCCAUCAACUUAGUAGGCCCACAAGUCAGCCCAACCAUAUGGUGGGUCCCAGCUAGCAGGGGGUAUUCAUUUUUUGGGGCGUAAUAAGGAGGCACUUCCUUGCAUGCGAAGAUAUAGCUGGUGGGUCCAACCUGUCAGCGGGGGGGGCAUUUUUUCGCGAAAUACAGAGGCCCUUCCUGUGGGUCCUAGCUGUUAGGUGCAGGAAUCAUUAUUUUGCGCAUAAUAAGGAGGCAUUUCCUUGUGUGCGGCCAUGGACCCAACUGUCAGCCUCUCCACGUACAGUACCAUGUUGACCAGGCCGCGCCGAGAGCACCAGGGCGGUGGACGACGACGAGGCCUAGGAAGGGAAUGACACGGAGCCAGGGAAUACUCGACAGUUGUUUCCCACGCGGAGGAGUACGAGGGUUUACUCGUUUGUCUGCCGUCCCCGGAGAAUAACAACAGGUGUGGGUGAGUAGAGGGAUGGCUAGGCCAGCGAUGGGAGUACGGUGGGGACGUGAGUCCUGCACGGCAGCAUAGCGAGCCGCGGGAGGAGGGAGCAGGCAGUCCUGCCGGCGCUUGUUUGAGCGGUUGGAGCAUGAAGAGCAGAGAUUGAAGAAGCACGACAGCCAUUGGAUGAACAUCCAACAGUCACUGCUCUCGUGUGUUGACUAAGUUAACAGGGCGUUGCGUGUGCGUCAACCUUUUUUUAUGAAAGCAUACGCGUCAACCUGUAGUAGGCGCACAAGUCAGCCUCAAAUCUGUGGAAAACAACAUACAACCCAUCUGCCAUUAUUUCUAAUAAUGUACAACCCAUUUGCUAAUUCUUAAGAAUUUUUUUGGAGCCCAUCUUCUUUUUGUUAGUAUUACACCCCAUAUUGUGGCCACGGUUAAAAACUAUAUGGGUCAUGGAUGCCUGUCCCUGUAAGUCUGUGCCACUUUGGGUUUACGACUAGCCAUGUCAGCCCGGGCUCCUUAUCAUAUGGAUGCUAGCGACACUAUCAUAUACGUGUGCCAAAAGGGGCAAACGGUCCCGGGCAAAGGUAAGGCGACACCCGUGGGAAUACCAUGCGUGAGGCCGCAAAGUGAUAUGAGGUGUUACAUGCUAGAUCGAUGUGGCACUGAGUCGGGGUCCUGACACCAUGCCCGCUCACAACGCGGCGUUGAAGGAUGCUUCAACCGCCAAGGGCCGCUGCAAGACACUCGAGGGCGAGCUGUAAGGGCUGCGUGAUGAGCUCACCAAGGAGAUUCACGACCGCCAGGUGAAGGAGGAGGAGAUGAAGGCUCGGGAGGCUGCUGUUAAGGACCGCGACGCCGAACUCUCAGCCGACCGCAACCGGCUGAAGACGCUGGAGCAGGCGCUGAAGGCGGAGAGGGUCGAACUGGAUGCCGAGGCGAAGGUCUUGCCCGAGGAUCGCGCGGCCUUCACGCGCUAUGAGGAGAGGGCUCGCAUAGCGCUGAAGACGAUGUAUGACGGGGGCCUAGAGAAACCGCUGGCCGGAGCCAAGGAAGGCCACGCUAAGCUGGUUCCCUUCCUUGUCGAGGCGCUUGAGGAGGUCGUGAUCGGCAUCGGCCCCAUGGCUGAAGUUGAGGCUCGCGUCCUUUCCUCCGCAUCGCUAACGCGGAUCCUCAGCCACGUCUACCUCCGCAACCCCGAGCCAACAUUGACGACCUGCUGGAGCCUGUGGACGCCAAGUGCUCUGCCGCUGCUGCCGAAGCCGUCAAGGGUCGAGCGGAGGCCUUGCUGGCGAAGUUCCGCGCCUUCAACACCGCGCCCAAGCGAGGCGCUGCUGGCUCCGCAGCUCCAUGGGGUGGAGCUGACAAGCGCGACUCCACCACGAGCGGUGGCGCGGCCCAGGGGUGAUCUUCUCGCGGCCCUUUCUCCUGAUUUGAUUCCUACAACAUGCACCAUGCCUCGUGGGGGCGUUUAAAUUUGUGUCUGGUAUUGUGAGAACAAUCUAUGGUCUGUAAUAUUUACUUCUGGAUUUGCUAGAUUUUGUGAUUUCCUUCCUAUUUCCUUGUGUUCUACGUCGGCAAGGCCCGGCCCCGCACAUACCUCAGCCGCUGUUAGCCCCGACCGGAUCACCAGGACGGGACUAAGGAGUGAGGGGCUACAUGGCAAGUUAGGCUCCUAAGCCGCGAUGCUCAGGAGUCCCCCUUGACACGCAAACGGCAAAUAGGGAGGGGGCGGAAGAGAGGAUCUGUCGUUCUACGUCGGCAGGGCCCGGCCCCACGAAUACCUGAACCGCCGUUAGCCUUUCGGAACUAAGGAGUGAGGGGCUACGUGACCAGUUAGGCUCCUGAGUCGCGAUGGUCAGGAGCCCCCCUUGACGCUCAAACGGGUCUUCAUACCUUGGCUCCGCUCGGGGAGGGGCGUGCGACGACCAGGUCCGAGGGACCUGGCUGGGUGGCGUGUGCUCGGGCGUGGCCCGGGCGCAGUCCCCGUGCCCAGCCCCCUCGCGCGGCUCUACCGAAGGGAGGCUUUGCGAUGAGGCCAGACACCGAGCUCUGGGCUCCCUGAGGUUGAUACAGCCGUGGGCUACCCUCAGUUGUUUAUCACCAGCGCGGAGCAUAGCGCUUCCGUAUGUGUACGGGCAUAGCCGCUCCUCGGCAGUGUCGCCAGCCAGCGCGGAGCAUGGUGCUACCACUAGUACGUGGGAGGGGGGGGCUCCCCUCCUGGAGGAGCCCCCGGGGCGUGUACAACCCCGCCCUGACAUGUGGCCGGCACGGUAGGGCUAUCAGAGGUGUAUCUGGGCACCCGUGAGCUAGCGCGGGACUCACGGGGCCCUACCUCGAGGCGGGUUGCGCCUGGCUUUGGGCCUUUGUCAGUGGUACGUUCCUGCAAGAUGGUUAAGAUGCAAAUGCUCUACGUCCUCAGGUCCCAGCCCUCGAGCAAGCUCAGCUGCCGCUGGUAUGCCAGGUCACGAUGUCGUGGACAAGGCCAGGGGGUGAGGGCUUGAGAGCCAGUAAGAGCUCCUGAGUCGCGAUGCUCAGGCCCCCCCUUUUAACAUGCAAUCGAUUUACAUGAGGAAAAAAUAGGCCUAUAGUAGGCGGCGGACGGUAACCAUAAGCAGGUUAAGCAUAUAUAAGCAAAUCAACUUAGAUAGAUGCAGAGAAAGGCAAACGCCACUGGGUCAGGCCCAAGCGGCUUGGGGAUGAUGCAGCCCGAGGGGCGCCCCCAACAAGGUAAGCUGAAGACAUAAGCAAAACGGAUACAUGCCGCGGGGACAGACCCAGGCGACCUGGGAAUGAUGCAGCCCUGAGGGCGCUCCCAGCAGAAACGAAACUUGAAAGAAGUCACCUGAUACCAUUGUAGAGCGAGUGUCGGAGUAGCUGACGGUGGGUGAUGUAGAAGCCAAUCCUCACGAGCCCUAGGAGCUCCGAGCCUCGGGAGACUCGGGAGAUCCGGGCGGCUCGGCGAGGUCCAUCUCCAUUUCCUCCAGGAGCGUGUGAUGCUUGGCCACCUGAGCUUCCAGAAUGCUUCUCACCAGGCGCUGGUGAGCAGCAGCCGCGUUUGGCAGGCCGAAGGGCAUGCGAACAUAGCUGUGCGGUGGACCCUCGCAAUAUCCUACACGCAAAGGCCAGAAGCACUCCUGAGACGCGACUUGAUUGAGCCCUGGGUAGUCGAUGCAGACGCGCAGCCCGCCAUCCUCGCCUGGAUGGGGAGCUACACUGGGCAGGCGGCGGUUGCCGCGCAUGACUCUCAAUUCCUGCAAUUCCUGAGCGACCUUGGCGAUGAACUCCUGAGGGUUGGGCCCUCCUUUCCUUACGCCUUCCUGAGGGAAACAUGCUACGAAGCACGCCUCCAAGUGUUGCUCGAGCGCCUCCCUCAUGAUCUUGGCAAAGUUAGUGGCUCCCCAAGAGAGAGCCCCCGAGCCUUGCCCGGGGAGGGUGCCGGGCGCGCCUCCCUAUGCGAUUGAGGGUGGCGCCCCUUGGAUGGGUGCAUGUUCGGAUGUGGCACCUCUAGAGGUGCCUGCCUCCUGAGGCCUUGAGCCAGGUGACAUCUUCUUCUUCUUUGGAGCCGCUUCAGGAAGGUUUCCACCCUUUUUGUCUGGGUCCUCGAUCGACACGGCUUGGAAGGCGCGCUCGAGAGAGCGCACCACAUCCUUCUCUUCACAGGGGCCCGUGAUGACCCUGCCACUUCCUGGCAUCUUGAGGACGUUGUAGCCAUGGUGAGUCACUGCCAUGAACUUGGCCAGAGCGGGGUACUCGAGGAUGGCAUUGUAUGGCAUGCAAAUGUGGGCAACGUCAAAGUCAAUGAGCUUGGUAUGGUAGUUCUUGCGCUGCCCAAAGGUGACAGGGAGGUGGACCUGCCCUAUCGGGACAGUGGAACCAUCAGUGACUCCUGAGAAGGGCUUGGUUGGUUGAAGCUGAUCGUAUGGCACUUGAAGGUUAUUGAACGUCUCGACGGACAGGAUGUUGAGCCCUGCUCCGCCGUCGAUGAGGGUCCUGGUAACUUGCACAUUGCUGAUGACUGGGAAGCAGAGCAUCGGGAGGACACCGGCCUUUGCCGCGCACUUGAGCUGAUCCGCUGAGCUGAACGUGAUAGCGCAUGUAGACCACCUGAGGGGGCGUGUGGCCUCAAGCUUGGGAAGGACUGCAUUCACUUCGCGAGCAAACUGCUUGAAGACACGCUGAGAGGCUGGGGCCUGCGCGCCGCCCAAGAUGCAAGCGAUCGCAUGCGGCUCCUGGAAGCCCCCAGCCCCCUCUUCCUGAUGAUGGUCGUCAUUCCUUCUUGGUGGUGGUGGCAGAGGAGGAAGUCAUGCAUUGCCUUGCGGGCGAUCCUCACAAGGCUGAUCUCUUCGAGCCCCCUCACGAGGCUGGUCCUGCCAGCGGUCCUCGCGAGGCCGGUCACGCCACCCUUGGCGAGGGCCACGGUCGUCCCAGCGUCCUCCACCUCUUGCUCCGCCUCGGCGGUAGCCCCGAUCAUUGCGCUCGGGGCGUCGACCGACACGGCCUUCUCGCACGGCCCUGAGCUCUUGGCAUUCGUUGGUGUUGUGGGUAUGGAGAUCGUGGUACACACAGUACCGGCUGCCCUUGGACGACUCUGGCUGGUCCCUGCCGCGCUUCAUGUCUGGCUCUGCUGCAAGCACAGCUGCUCCCUUGCGCUUCACAUCUUUGGCCUUGGCUUUCUUCUCUUCUGGGUCUGCUGCUUGGAGCUCGAGAAGGGAGAGGUGUCCCUCCUCAGCUCUUGCGCACUUGUUCGCUAGGUUGAACAACUCCAGAGACGUACACAGAUCUUCGUGGAUCGCCAGCUCCUCCUUCAUCUUGACGUCACAGACGGUAUUAGAGAAUGCCGAGAUGAUGGCCUCCUUGGUUACCCUGGGAAUCUUGAGGCGAGCGUUGUUGAAGCGCUGGAUGUACUUCUGCAAGGUCUCUUCGGGCUGCUGCUUGAUGCGGCACAGGUCACCCAUGGCCGGCGGAUGGUCGCGAGUGCCCUGGAAGUUGGCAAUGAAGCGACCGCGCAUCUCGUCCCAGGAGAAGAUCUUGCAAGGAGGCAGGUUCAGGAGCCAGGUGCGGGCAUCGUCCUUGAGUGCCAUGGGAAACCAGUUCGCCAUGACCUUUUCGUCCCCGUUGGCGGCUUCGAUGCCCAGCUCGUAGAGCUGUAGGAACUCCGCGGGGUCGGCAGUGCCGUUGUAGCGAGGGGGCAGGUCAGGUUUGAACUUGCCCGGCCAGGCGACACUGUGUAGCUCGGUGGUGAAGGCGCGGCAGCCUGCGGUGGCCACCGGAGCUCUCUACUGACGCGGGGCUUGCUACUGGGGAUUCCCGCACGCCGCUGCCUGGAGCAGCGCGGGGUCUUGACAUGGUGGCGUAGGGAUGCGGUCAUGGCGCACCAGCACCGGGAGCACACGAGCACCUUCUUCGGGACGAGGAUUUCUUGGCAGCUCCUUCUUGUCGCCCGGGCGCCGGACGCGGUGGAUCUCGUCCUGGGGCCGCGCGCCUUGGAGCUAAGGCGCCUUCUUCGGGACGAGGUGGUGAAGGCACCUCCUGAUCUGCGCCUCCUGUGCAGGACCGAGGGCGAGGCAGCAAGAGGGACGGUGUAGGGGAGCCCCCUGCGACGCUGACAAGCUCGGUGAUGCGAGCGAGCCACUCCUCGUAGAGGUCGUCGACGGGACGGUAGUGCAGGAGCUCACGCACCAGGAGCAACGCUGUGUGUGUGUCCAUGGGGGCGCGACGGGCGUGGGACGACGAACCAGCUGGGGUCAGCGACGGGGUGGCGGUGCGGCCUUCCCACCGCACCGAAGGAUGCAGCAACGAGGCCUGCUGCUCGUUCCCCGCCGGGCCGGUGGCGGCGUUGGUGGCAAGUGACGGGGAACGACAGGGACACCCACCGAUGGGAGCCAUCUAGGCGACGCGGGCGGCGAGAGCAGCCCGACGCUUGGCGCGAGCCCGGCGAGCGUCAGCCAUGGACACGUCGGAAGAUCGAACACGAAAGAGCGGAAGAAAGAUUUCGGCGGACCCCUACCCGGCGCGCCAAAUGUCAGAUGUUGGGUUCCGGCAGACCCUUAAGGUUCGAACUCUGGGGUGCGCACGAAGAUCUUCCCCGUACCGAUCUACGCCCGGUCGCCUCGCGAGAAUGUAAGCUAAAUGAUGGACAACAUGAGGGACACAAGAUUUAUACUGGUUCGGGCCACCGUUGUGGUGUAAUACCCUACUCCAGUGUGUGGUGUGGUAGAUUGCCUCAGGGGCUGAUGAUGAACAGUACAAAGGAUGAAUAGCCUCGCGAGAGGUGUUCUUGAGCUGGUGCGAUGAACUGCUUGGGUGAGUUCGAUCGCCUCUUGGUCUAAUGAGCACUCGAUGAGCUCCCGCCUUCCUCUGUGGUGGCUAGUACUAUUUAUAGAGGCCCUGGUCCUCUUCCCAAAUAUUGAGCGGGAAGGGCGCCAACAACGGCCAUUUUGAACGGGAACAUCUCGUACAAGUUAUCCUGACUAAAGUUGGUCUUCGGCUGCCAAAGGCUCUAGUGAUGACGCCGUCUUGGGCUCCACGGUGACCUCUAUCCUACCGCUCUGCUGGUCUUGGUCUCGUUGCACUGAAAUGGCAACCUUUGCCUGAUGCCUCGGUGCUCCACGCAUGUGCUUGCCCCCUUUGCACCAAAGAGGAAACAAGGACAUUGCACAGGCCGACGCCCGCCUGGCGCCCACCCGGUCUCGAUCGUCACGGCUUGCGUCACGAGCACCUCGCGAGGUACCCUUCCUUGAUCUCUCCGCCCCUCGCGAGCGUGCCUGGCGAGGCCGUUCCUGAGGAAGUCAUGUGUCGUCCUCCCCGCGAGGCUUGACCCCUCGCGAGGGUCUUGAGUCUUGCGCUGAUGAAGAUGGGCCAUACUGGGCCACCACUCGAGCCACGCCGUAGGCCGCAGGCAGGCAAGUCAGGGACCCUCAUUCCCAGAACGCCGACAGUACUGCCUCUUGAACCGGAAAGUAGCAUAGCUCAGGAAGAUGUUUCUGUGGUGCCUGCACUGACUAGAGAGGAAGUUGAUGAUGAUGAUCAAGGUACUUCGGAUCAAGUUGCUACUGAACUUCGUAGGUCCACAAGGACACGUUCCACACCAAAAUGGUAUGGCAACCCUGUCUUGGAAAUCAUGUUGUUAGACAACGGUGAACCUUCAAACUAUGAAGAAGCAAUGGCGGGCCCAGAUUCCAACAAAUAGCUUGAAGCCAGGAAAUCCGAGAUAGGAUCCAUGUAUGAGAACAAAGUAUGGACUUUGACAGACUUGCCCGAUGAUCGGUGAGCCAUAGAAAACAAAUGGAUCUUUAAGAAGAAGACUAACGCGGAUGGUAAUGUGACCAUCUAUAAAGCUCGGCUUGUCGCUAAGGGUUAUCGACAAGUUCAAGGGGUUGACUACGAUGAGACCUUCUCACCCGUAGCGAAGCUAAAGUCUGUCCGAAUCAUGUUAGCAAUUGUCGCAUUCUAUGAUUAUGAAAUAUGGAAAAUGGACGUCAAAACGGCAUUCCUUAACGGUUUCCUUAAGGAAGAAUUGUAUAUGAUGCAGCCAGAAGGUUUUGUCGAUCCUAAGAAUGCCAACAAGGUAUGCAAGCUCCAGCGCUCCAUCUAUGGGCUGGUGCAAGCAUCUCGGAGUUGGAACAUUCACUUUGAUGAAAUGAUCAAAGCGUUUGGGUUUAUGCAGACUUGUGGAGAAGCCUGCGUUUACAAAAAAGUGAGUGGGAGCUUUGUAGCAUUUCUCAUAUUAUAUGUGGAUGACAUACUAUUGAUGGGAAAUGAUAUAGAACUUUUGGAAAGCAUAAAGGCCUACUCGAAUAAGUGUUUUUAAAUGAAGGACCUUGGAGAAGCUGCUUACAUAUUUGGCAUCAAGAUCUAUAGAGAUAGAUCGAGACGCCUCAUAGGUCUUUCACAAAGCACAUACCUUGAUAAGAUAUUGAAGAAGUUCAAUAUGGAUCAGUCCAAGAAGGGGUUCUUGCCUGUUUUGCAAGGUGUGAGAUUGAGCAUGGCUCAAAGCCCGACCACGGUAGAAAAUAGAGAAAAGAUGAGUGUCAUCCCCUAUGCCUCAGCCAUAGGGUCUAUUAUGUAUGCCAUUCUGUGUACCAGACGUGAUGUAAACCUUGCCGUAAGUUUGGUAGGGAGGUACCAAAGUAAUCCCAGCAUGGAACACUGGACAGCGGUCCAGAAUAUCCUGAAGUACCUGAAAAGGACUAAGGAUAUGUUUCUCGUUUAUGAAGGUGACGAAGAGCUCAUCGUAAAGGGUUACGUCAAUGCUAGCUUCGACACAGAUCUGGAUGACUCCAAGUCACAAACCGGAUACGUGUAUAUUUUGAAUGGUGGGGCAGUAAGCUGGUGCAGUUGCAAGCAAAGCGUCGUGGCGGGAUCUAGAUGUGAAGCAGAGUACAUGGCAGCCUCGGAGGCAGCACAUGAAGCAAUCUGUAUGAAGGAGUUCGUUAUCGACCUAGGAGUUAUUCCCAAUGCGUCGGGCCCGAUGACUCUCUUCUGUGAUAACACUGGAGCUAUUGCCCUUGCCAAGGAGCCCAGGUUUCACAAUAAGACCAGGCAUAUCAAGUGUCGCUUCAACUCCAUUCGUGAAAAUGUUCAAGAUGGAGACAUAGAUAUUUGUAAAGUGCAUACGGAUCUGAAUGUUGCAGAUCUGUUGACUAAACCUGUUCCACGAGAAAAACAUGAUCAACACCAGAACUCUAUGGGUGUUCGAUUCAUCACAAUGUAACUAGAUUAUUGACUCUAGUGCAAGUGGGAGACUGUUGUAAAUAUGCCCUAGAGGCAAUAAUAAAAUGGUUAUUAUUAUAUUUCCUUAUUCAUGAUAAUUGUCUAUUGUUCAUGCUAUAAUUGUAUUAACCAGAAACCGUAAUACAUGUGUGAAUACAUAGACCACAACAUGUCCCUAGUGAGCCUCUAGUUGACUAUCUCAUUGACCAAUAGAUGGUCAUGGUUUCCUGACCAUGGACAUUAGAUGUCAUUGAUAAUGGGAUCACAUCAUUAGGAGAAUGAUGUGAUGGAUAAGACCCAAUCCUAAGCUUAGCACAAGAUCGUGUAGUUUGUUUGCUAAAGCUUUUCUAAUGUCAAGUAUCAUUUCCUUAGACCAUGAGAUUGUGCGACUCCCGGAUAUCUAGGAAUGCUUUGGGUGUAGCAAACGUCACAACGUAACUGGGUGACUAUAAAGGUACACUAGAGGCAUCUCCGAAAGUGUCUGUUGGGUUGGCACGAAUUGAGACUCGGAUUUGUCACUCCGUAUGACGGAGGGGUAUCACUGGGCCCACUCGGUAAUGCAUCAUCAUAAUGAGCUCAAUGUGACUAAGUAGUUAGUAACGGGAUCAUGCAUUACGGAAUGAGUAAAGUGACUUGCCGGUAACGAGAUUGAACGAGGUAUUGGGAUACCGACGAUCAAAUCUCGGGCAAGUAACGUACCGAUUGACAAAGGGAAUUGUAUACGGGAUUGCCUGAAUCCCGACAUUGUGGUUCAACCGAUGAGAUCAUCAUGGAACAUGUGUGAGCCAACAUGGGUAUCCAGAUCCCGCUGUUGGUUAUUGGCCGGAGAGUUGCCUCGGUCAUGUCUGCAUGAUUCCCGAACCCGUAGGGUCUACACACUUAAGGUUCAGUGACGCUAGAGUUGAUAUGGAAAUUAGUACGCAGUUACUUAAUGUUGUUAGGAGUCUUGGAUGAGAUCCCAGACGUCACGAGGAGUUCCGGAAUGGUUCGGAGGUAAAGAUUUAUAUAUGGGAAGUCCAGGUUCAGUCACCGAAAUAAUUUCGGGGAUUACCGGUAUUGUACCGGGACCGUCGAAAGGUGUCCGGGGGUCCACCGGGUGGGUCCACCUGCCACGAGGGACUUAGUGGGCUGAACAAGGGUGGGAACCAGCCCCCUAGUGGGCUGGUGCGCCCCCCCUAGGGCCCAAGGCGCCUAGGGUUGAAAACCCUAGGGGGUGGGGGCGCCUCCCACCAACUUGCGGGGCAAGCUCCCCCCUUGCCCCCCCCUUAGGUGAGAUCUAAGGGGGCCGUCCCCCUCUCCCCUUCCCCCUAUAAAUAGUCGGAGGGUGGGAGGGCUGCCAUACCCUUCCCCUGGCGCAGCCCUUCCCCUCUCCAACUCCACCUCCUCCGUAGUGCUUGGCGAAGCCCUGCCGGAGAACUGCAAGCUCCUCCACCAUGCCGUUGUGCUGUCGGAGCUCUCCCUCAACUUCUCCUUUCCCCUUGCUGGAUCAAGAAGGAUGAGACGCCCCCGAGCUGUACAUGUGUUGAACGCGGAGGCGCCGUCCGUUCGGCAUUAGAUCGGAUCUUCCGUGAUUUGAAUCGCCGCGAGUACGACUCCCUCAUCCGCGUUCUAGUGACGCUUCCGCUUAGCGAUCUUCAAAGGUAUGAAGAUGCUCAUCCUCUCCCUCUCUUGUUGCUAGAAUCUCCAUAGAUUGAUCUUGGUGAUGGGUAGAAAUUUUUGAAUUAUUGCUACGUUCCCCAACACUUGUAGCCCCACAGGUGCACUACAAAAAAAAGACACAUCCGUGACAUUUUGGGCCAAACGAAAAAAAAA
rnacentral:lncRNA from 1 species